UACGUAGGGGGCAAGCGUUAUCCGGAUUUACUGGGUGUAAAGGGAGCGUAGACGGUUGUGCAAGUCUGAAGUGAAAGCCCGCGGCUCAACUGCGGAACGGCUUUGGAAACUGUGUAACUGGAGUGCUGGAGAGGUAAGCGGAAUUCCUGGUGUAGCGGUGAAAUGCGUAGAGAUCAGGAGGAACACCGGCGGCGAAGGCGGCUUACUGGACAGUAACUGACGUUGGGGCUCGAAAGCGUGGGGAGCAAACAGG
rnacentral:rRNA from 1 species